AGCAGCCGCGGUAAUUCCAGCUCCAAUAGCGUAUAUUAAAGUUGUUGCAGUUAAAAAGCUCGUAGUUGAAUUUCGGGAUCAAUAUAUCGGUCGUGCCAUCGGUACGUACUGGUAUCAUUGGUUUCUCCUUUCUGACGAACCAUGAUGUCAUUAAUUUGGUGUUAUGGGAAGUUAGGACUGUUACUUUAGAAAAAAUUAGAGUGUUUAAAGCAGGCUUUAGCUUGAAUACAUUAGCAUGGAAUAAUGAAAUAGGACGUUCGAACCUAUUUUGUUGGUUUCUAGGAUCAACGUAAUGAUUAAUAGGGAUAGUUGGGGGCAUUAGUAUUCAAUUGUCAGAGGUGAAAUUCUUGGAUUUAUUGAAGACUAACUACUGCGAAAGCAUUUGCCAAGGAUGUUUUCAUUAAUCAAGAACGAAAGUUAGGGGAUCGAAGACGAUCAGAUACCGUCGUAGUCUUAACCAUAAACUAUGCCGACUAGGGAUCGGAUGAUGUUAAUUUUUUAAUGUACUCAUUCGGCGCCU
rnacentral:rRNA from 1 species